GACGGCCACAAAAAUACAAUUUUGAUAGGUAUUACAAAUAUUACAAGCUCUCCCCGGGAGGCGGGCGCUCGGCCGGGCCGGGCGGGCCGCGUCGGAUCGGGUCGGACCGGGUCGGACCGGGUCGGACUAGGUCGGACCGGGUCGGACCGACCAGCCUGGGCCAGCCUGGGCCAGCCGGGCCGGCCGGGCCGGACCGGACCCCGCGCCUCACGAGAAUGCAAUACUAAAUAAAUUCUGUCAAUUCUUUUCUUAACUAGAAAAUGAUUUACAAAAUUUCAAGUAUAAAAAUAUAAAAUAAAUG